ACUCCUACGGGAGGCAGCAGUGGGGAAUUUUGGACAAUGGGGGAAACCCUGAUCCAGCAAUGCCGCGUGAGUGAAGAAGGCCUUCGGGUUGUAAAGCUCUUUUGUCAGGGAAGAAACACCGGCUCUAACACAGUCCGGGAAUGACGGUGCCUGAAGAAUAAGCACCGGCUAACUACGUGCCAGCAGCCGCGGUAAUAC
rnacentral:rRNA from 1 species